UACAGAGGUCUCAAGCGUUGUUCGGAUUCAUUGGGCGUAAAGGGUGCGUAGGCGGCGCGGUAAGUCGGGUGUGAAAUCUCGGAGCUUAACUCCGAAACUGCAUUCGAUACUGCCGUGCUUAAGGACUGGAGAGGAGACUGGAAUUCACGGUGUAGCAGUGAAAUGCGUAGAUAUCGUGAGGAAGACCAGUGGCGAAGGCGGGUCUCUGGACAGUUCCUGACGCUGAGGCGCGAAGGCCAGGGGAGCAAACGGG
rnacentral:rRNA from 1 species